GAGAGAGAGUACAUCAGUUUCAGUGGAGUGGUGAAUUUGAGGUUUCAGCAGUUUGAGUUAUAAAUGGGGGUUGAAAUGAAGAUACUGAAUGGAGGGUUCUUGGUAUAUUGGCUACAGCUAGCUGCAAAGGGAGAAACUGCUGCAUCUAGGAAGGGAGGAGAGAAGCAUUUAACAAGAGCCUAUCAUAAAACUCAGUGAUACUGUCUGUGGUUUUAAAAAGUGUCUUUCACGUACCACGCACUCUGUUUUGUUCACAAACAUUAUGCAGAGAAGGAUGUUAAAUUGAAAGACCAGUUCAACCAGAGGUGAUGGUAGUUAACUAUAUGCUGUCCAGUUAGCUCUUUUACUUUGUUUUUCUUUCUUUCCU